CAAGCGCAUGUCCUAAACAUGAUUGAUUUUAUCACUUGUAUGGGAUAGCUGGAUUUUGCCAUGGAUGGUGAACUGAGUCAGGAUUUAUCCUGUAGUCUCUUUCUGACUCCUUUCUUAGUUUGUCAUUAAUUAUCAUAUGAACAAACUGAACAUCAACUUGUCUGAGCUGCUGAAUAUAUUAAAAAUAACAGAGAGCCAUUUCAAGGGUGAAAAGGCUCAGGUUCUUCAUGUUGAUAAGAUCAACAAGAAUAAGGCAAAGAAAGCUUCUAAGAAAAAGUUGAACCCUAAGGCUGGCAUCUCCAAGA
rnacentral:lncRNA from 1 species